GGCGGGCGUGGUGGCAAACACCUGUAGUCUCAGCUACUAGGGAGCGUGAGGCAGGAGGAUGGCUUGAGCCCAGGAAUUCUGAGCCUUAGUGUGCUAUGCCGAUCAGGUGUUCACACUAAGUUCAGCAUGAAUAUGGUGACCUCCUGGGGGCAGGGCACCACCACAUUGGCUAAGGAAGGGUGAACUGGCCCAGGUCAGAAAUGGAGCAGGUCAUAAGUAACUCCUGUGCUGAUCAGUAGUGGGAUUAUGCCUGUGAGUAGCUACUGUAUUCCAGCCUGGGCAACAUAGCGAGACCUCAUCUCUU
ensembl:misc_RNA Metazoa_SRP Metazoan signal recognition particle RNA